AAGUCGUAACAAGGUUUCCGUAGGUGAACCUGCGGAAGGAUCAUUAUCGAAUUCAUCGCAGCUGUGCAUUCACUUGCACGCCGCGUGUCUUCAUUCACUCCUGUGCACCUUUGCGGGAUUGUGGCUUCGGUCGCGCCUGCUUUUUUUACACCUUUUUGUAUGGCAUUGAAUUUAUUCGGUCACUCUGUGAUGGAGUGGUCGUGAAAAAAUUAAAUACAACUUUCAGCAACGGAUCUCUUGGCUCUC
rnacentral:misc_RNA from 1 species